CCCAACUUCUGAAUGUUGACCUCGGAUCAGGUAGGAAUACCCGCUGAACUUAAGCAUAUCAAUAAGCGGAGGAAAAGAAACCAACAGGGAUUGCCCUAGUAACGGCGAGUGAAGCGGCAACAGCUCAAAUUUGAAAUCUGGCUCUCGGGCCCGAGUUGUAAUUUGUAGAGGAUACUUUUGAUGCGGUGCCUUCCGAGUUCCCUGGAACGGGACGCCAUAGAGGGUGAGAGCCCCGUCUGGUUGGAUGCCAAAUCUCUGUAAAGUUCCUUCAACGAGUCGAGUAGUUUGGGAAUGCUGCUCUAAAUGGGAGGUAUAUGUCUUCUAAAGCUAAAUACCGGCCAGAGACCGAUAGCGCACAAGUAGAGUGAUCGAAAGAUGAAAAGCACUUUGAAAAGAGAGUUAAAAAGUACGUGAAAUUGUUGAAAGGGAAGCGUUUAUGACCAGACUUGGGCUUGGUUAAUCAUCUGGGGUUCUCCCCAGUGCACUUUUCCAGUCCAGGCCAGCAUCAGUUUUCCCCGGGGGAUAAAGGCGGCGGGAAUGUGGCUCUCUUCGGGGAGUGUUAUAGCCCACCGUGUAAUACCCUGGGGGGGACU
rnacentral:rRNA from 1 species